rnacentral:rRNA from 1 species
GAUGAACGCUGGCGGCGUGCUUAACACAUGCAAGUCGAACGGAAAGGCCCAAGCUUGCUUGGGUACUCGAGUGGCGAACGGGUGAGUAACACGUGGGUGAUCUGCCCUGCACUUCGGGAUAAGCCUGGGAAACUGGGUCUAAUACCGGAUAGGACCACAUUUUGGAUGGUGUGGUGGAAAGUAUUUCGGUGUGGGAUGAGCUCGCGGCCUAUCAGCUUGUUGGUGGGGUAAUGGCCUACCAAGGCGUCGACGGGUAGCCGGCCUGAGAGGGUGUACGGCCACAUUGGGACUGAGAUACGGCCCAGACUCCUACGGGAGGCAGCAGUGGGGAAUAUUGCACAAUGGGCGCAAGCCUGAUGCAGCGACGCCGCGUGGGGGAUGACGGCCUUCGGGUUGUAAACUCCUUUCGCUAGGGACGAAGCGUUUUUGUGACGGUACCUGGAGAAGAAGCACCGGCUAACUACGU